CAAUAGUAAAAAAUAGACACAUGGCACCCUAGGGUUGGGUGGACCCCACCCUAAUUUUUGAGACACAUGAUCCUAGAAUAAAAACCUACCGGUCGUCACACUUAUGUGGCUUGAUUUUCUCGGCAGAUUUUGGGGCAUAUCUUCUUCUUUGAACUAUGCAUAUGUUAGGUGACUUUGGUUGAGUAAAAAGAAGUGCAGUCGUCACUCUCAAUAUUCAUUCUCG
rnacentral:lncRNA from 1 species